CGGCCGGCACUGGCUCCAUUGGACAUGGGGGAAGCUUCCAGCAGCUUCUCACAGAAGCCACCCCUGCAGCCCCUCCGCUACAACACCUUGACACACAAACCCGAUACACCUAGUUAAGCUGUAUUUUGGUAGAAGACAAUAUUAGUGUUGGUCUCUGGUCUUUAAUUUAUUUAUUCUUAUUUUUCCAAGACAUUACACUUCAGAGAGGUUCCCUCCAUGUGCCAUCUGUUUCCUUGCAACUGGGAAUGGUAGAAUAAUUUUCUAAAGAAUUGCUGACAAGAUGUGGCAGGGGAACAGUAACCCAUAAAGACAAGAUUUCUCAUUAAGUCACUCAGCUCGUCUGUGAUACAGCAAGCUCUUGAUUUACACUGGUCACCUCUGGAGCAGGGAGAACAGUGGCUGUGGUUAUAUUACCCCAUCCUUCUCGCAGAUGGUCUGAGGAAAAUGUGAAAAUACAGCUGGAGACUAUAAGAAAAUCAAGAUCACAGCCCAAGAAAAUUGUAUAGAAACCUAAAUCCCAUCACAGGUGUGUACCACCCAGGAAAGAAUGCAACAAUGUCAGCACAUCCCCAGCUUAUCCCUGGUUUCAUUGUUACCUGCUUUUGAAUCUGCUACCAAGACGGAGUGGGACAGACUUUAAGAUGACAUCAGACUGGUGUGAUGUGCCAUUUGUAUCACACUGCCAUGUCAGGGGGGAUAUCUCAUAAUGAUGAUGAAAUAUCAGGUAAUGCUGCUUGGCAGCUGUAACACUUCCUGCAUUUAAGAGCUGCCAUCCACCUCUGUUUCACAAAACAUGCUGAAGUUGUGUUCACAAGAGCCAGCAAAGCCAUGGAAAAUUUAUUUUCACAGCAUUACCGCUCCUAUUUAUCUCUCAUCUGCCUCCUUAAUUCUUUCCAUUGAUUAACACAUGCUCUUGUUUCUGGUUCAGAUAUGUUGGGAGUUGCCUUUAUGAAAAGGUUGCAAAGCAAAACUCACAGGAAAUCCCUCUAUCCAUUACCUGUCCUGAUGAGCAUCAGGGGUUAUGACAUUUUGCUUCUGAUUUAUUGCAGGAAUAAAUAUUUUCCACCUUUAAACUCUCAUACCAUGAAGAAGACCCUGCCUGUUUAUUAUGAUUAUGUUGAAGUAUUUUCUGUUUGUGCUAAGGCUUUUUCUAAAGUUAUGUAUAAGCAUAUAUGUCAUUUAUGCUUUAGAGAGGCAGGUUUUGGUAGUUCUUAUGACUGACAAAAGAGGAUUAGACCUUGAACAGUAAUUGAAAUAAAUAGAUGAAUAUUUAAUUUAAUAUAUGAAAGGGCACCUGGUUCCUGUUCAUGGAGUAAUAGGAGCAAUUGACUUGUAUCUCAUCUAGGCUUUUGUUCAAAAGGUUUGUAAACUAACUAAUGGAGAUAUUUUAGGAUUAACUAUCCUUACACAACAUUUAUGAAGUCAGACUUGUUUUCCAAGACAGUUUCAGUGUUAAUCUUUAAAAACUCUGUAAUUCAGAUAAUAUACUAGUAUGAACAUAAUGUCAACCCAUAGAAUAAAAGCACUGAGAA